AGGAAACAAUUUAAUUUAAAGCUAUUUCUCAGAAUUGUAUCCUGGACUUAAUAGGGACACACACUUAAGCACAUUAAUUGCAGCUCAGUCUGUGAGACAUAAGUUCAGAUUCAAAUGAGUUACACAGUCCUGUUAUUAUACAACCUUACAAUUUAAGCAAAAACUUUAUUAGCAAACUGGUCCAUGCUGUUAAUUCAUACUACUGCACUUUUGAAACAAGUACAACCGAAUGAUAAACUAAUUUAAUUAAUACAUUAACUGUUAAAGAAGUGCAUGCUAAGAGAAGAUUCUUGCCCCUUUUGAACAUAGCUUUGUCCAUAACAGCCUUGUCUUCCUAUUGUUAUCAUGUAAAUCCCAUCUUGAAGCUCCCAAGCUGAUUGUUCCAACAAACUAGUGGCUGAAUCAAUAUGUGAUAUGGACUUGGACCAACAUUAAUCAACUAUUUGUAACAAAAAUAGUCGAUUAAAGAAGGUUUCAAGUUCAUUCGACCAGAUAUAACCUCCAAAAGGUGAAGAAGAAAAUUAAGGUUUUUUGAUGUUCUAAUAUUUGAGAUUCGAGGAAAUCAGGACUGAUUCAAGAGGGGUUAAUGGUAUUUUGGGAUUCAAGUAAGGGUAAAGUUCAUAGGGUGUAAGUCUGAGGCGAUUUGGGAAGGUUGAAGUUUUGGCCGAGAUUCUUCGAUUCAAAAUUCGAAGAGUUCAAUAGGGAUUUGAGAAAUUAGGAGUGGAGAUUGGGAAUGAUGAGGUCAAGGGGGGUUCAGGGUGUAAAUUUGGGGUAUUUUGGGGCAUCGCCGCCUACAGAAGCGAUUACCGGCGGGCGGUUCACGGUGGAGACGAUGGAAUAAAAGCGCGGCUAGGGUUUGGGUUUUUGAGAGGAUCAGUGACAAAUGGAUGGAGUAAUGGGGUUUGAGGGGUCCAUUCAGACAGUUAGAAGGAGGGGAAAGGAUCAGUUUUCAACCACUGGAUCAUAGGAGAUCAAUGCUAAUCAAAAUGACGUCGUUAGGGUAUGGACAGGGUAAGGGAUGGUUUUGGGUCGGGUAAGGGGUGGUUUUGGAUGGGUAUUGGAGGAUUUUUUAUUUGGGCUAGCCCAAAUUCAGGUAUUUAUUAAGAAACUCAAUUUCUUUUCAACUUCUUUCCUUUUUCUUUUCUAUUUAAAAACUCCUUUUUUCUUUUUUCUUUUUCAAAAUUAAAAUAAACCUAAAUUAACUCUAAAAAAUUAAACUAUCAAAUUAUAUCAAGCUCUAACUAAUAAUCAACAUAAUUAAUUAAAUACCAAAUUAAAGAAAAACUAACAAAAUUCAAAGCUAAAAAAUUAAGCAAUGCGGAAAUAGAUAAUUUUUUGUGAUUUUUCUAUUUUUGUAUACCCUAAUUACUAAUUAAUCUAUAAAUUUGUAAAAUUAAAUCAUAUAUGCAACAUGUAAUUUUUCUCUUUUUUUCUUUUCUUUUUAAUUAAAAAUCCUAAAUUACCUAAAAUGUGAAAACUUAAAAUAAUUAAUUACAAAAUUAUAAAAGCUACUUAAUCCUAUGUUAAAAGAGAAAAAUCAAUAAAAGGAUAAAAAUGUAGAAAUUGGCUAUUUUUGUGGUUUUUAUUUUUAAUAAAGAAAAUAAUUAAUUAAUUAGUCCUAAAAAUAUAUAAUAUAUCAUGAACGAACAAUAUCUAAAGAAUAACUCAUUUCAUUGCACAACUAAUUGCAAAGGUUUGACAUAUUUCAUAAACUGAUGUAUAAAGAAUCUAUAUAGAGUUCUAAGUAGUACCUGUAGUAGUAAAGUUCAAAAAAGGAAGGUAGAAGAACAGAUUCUAGAGAAUCUCAAGGAUAUCAGCAACACAAUAGCAACAACAAAAGCAAAACAAUCCAAGGAUUCAAAAUAAGACCAAAACCAGCUUCAAACUAGGAAAUCCAGCUAGAGAACUAGAGAAAAUUUUCUAUUCAAACCCUAUCUUGACUUGCACAGAAUCAGAAAAAUGAGAGAAGUUUUUUUUUGAGUUUUUCUUUUUUUUUUUUUAGAAUUUUUUUUGGAAUCUGAACUUUUGAGCAAGGAGUGGUUUUUUGCAUUAGUUUUUUUUUGGAUCAUUCAACUCUCUCUGUGUGAGUGAGGGAAUGUUUCUAUUAUAUAGAGUGCACAAAAAGGCAUAAAAAAAUAGAAUAUUCUGACCUAGUAUAACAUAUUUUACAGCUGUAGUAUCCUUUUUCCUUAUCAAAAACCAGUAUUUUCUAAUGGAUAAGGACAAUUGUGUUGUAUUUUAGAAAAUUCUUAUAUUUAGCCUUUGAGAAAGUCCUAUUUUAACCUUUAAGCUACUGCUUAUUCCAUCUUUAGCCUAAAAUCUGAUUUUAAGACAAUUGCAACACUUUAGGCUUUUAAAUAGGUGGUAACACUUCCCUAAUGUAUUGUAUUUCAAAUUGUGAUAUUAAGCUAAGGUUCUAAAAUGGUUGUUCAAAGGCUCAAAUAUGAGCUUAAAACCAAUUAAACCUAAGUAAUCACAUGAAUAAGCAAUUAAGACUGAUUCAAGAAGGUUUACUCAAUUUUAACCAAAUUCAAGAUAAAUCUAGCUAAAGCUGAACUAGGCAAUCAAUUACUGUGAAUUCCAUCUUAAUUAAAACGAACUAUGCUGAGAACUAAUGGCUAGAGAAAAUCAUGAGAUAAAAAGAAUGAAUAGAAACACAAAACUCCACAUUAACAGAACUAGUCAUGCCAAUUACACUCAUAAAUUAUGAGACCUAAACAAAUGAUAAUCUUGCAAUUUGAGUAUUGAAAAGUGCAAAUUUGAUUUAAUUAAUCAGGAACAAAUAGACAACUAGGCAUUUGCUAAAAAAAUAAAGGAAGGAAACAUAGAAAUAAAAGUUAAACAAGCAAAAGGAGAGGAAAAGAAACUAAUAGACAUAAAUCUGAACUUUUAACAUGCUUUAAUUAAUAGGAACUUCAGGAAUUGAUCAAUUAAACAGAAAAAGGUAAACAAAAGAAGAAAAAUACUAAUUAUUUCGCUAAAAAGAAAAGAAUAAUCAAACAUGAAAAGAAAGGACAAAAUCAAAAAUAUUAAACAAUCAAAAAAGAAAAAGAAAAGAGAUUACCGGAUUGAAAUCAAACCGGAUCUAAUUGCAAACUAGUCCAAGCUUUCUGAUAUGUGAUAUGGACUUGGACAACCUUUAAUCAACUAUUUGUAACAGAAAUAGUCGAUUAAUGAAGGUUUCAAGUUCAUUCGACCAGAUAUAACCUCCAAAAGACGAAGAAGAAAAUUAAGGUUUUUUGGGGUUCUAAGAUUUGAGAUUCGAGGAACUCAGGACUGAUUCAAGAGGGGUUAAUGGUAGUUUGGGAUUCAAGUAAGGGUAAAGUUCAUAGGGUGUAAGUCUGAGGCGAUUUGGAAAGGUUGAAGUUUUGGCAGAGAUUUUUCGAUUCAAAAUUCGAAGAGUUCAAUAGGGAUUUGAGAAAUGAGGAGUGGAGAUUGGGAAUGAUGAGGUCAAGGGGGGUUCAGGGUGUAAAUUUGGGGUAUAUUUGGGCAUCGCCGCCUACAGAAGCGAUUUACGGCGGGCGAUUCACGGCGGAGACGAUGGAAUAAAAGCGCAGCUAGAGUUUGGGUUUUUGAGAGGAUCAGAGACAAAAGGAGGGAGUAAUGGGGUUUGAGGGGUCCAUUCAGACAGUUAGAAGGAGGGGAAAGGAUCAGUUUUCAGCUAUUGGAUCAUGGGAGAUCAACGCUGAGAUCAAUGCUAAUCAAAAUGACGUCGUUUGGGUACGGACAGGGUAAAGGAUGGUUUUGGAUUGGGUAAGGGGUGGUUUUGGAUGGGUAUUGGAGGAUUUUUUUAUUUGGGCCAGCCCAAAUUCAGCUAUUUGUUAAGAAACUCAAUUUCUUUUCAAC
rnacentral:lncRNA from 1 species